UUUGAAAGCGGUGAAACCAAAGAUGCAACGCACAAUCUUCUGGAGCAACAAAGCUGCAUGGAAAUUUCAGCCUCCAAAAUACAACAAACCGUCAACAUGAUUGUUAAAGAGGAUCCAGAUGUCGAGAAGAUCUCAGAAGAUCAGCCAGCUUCUGUGGAAGUUAGUCAGUGUGGAAAUGACCUGGUGUCAGCGUGCCCGCCAAAAAGUGUCAGAGGCGUGUCAGAUGAAGAGGCCGCUGGUGCUUUCCUGGCUUCAUCCAUCGAUUCAUCAAACACCCUUGAAUCCCUCAAAGAGAAACCACCGUCUUCAGAGUCCCAGUAUGGUGUCACGGUAACCUCUGCUGAAUGCAGUCCACAAGAACCUGCUCCUACCUGCAGCUCUCAAGCUGAAAAAGAUUCUGUGAAAGCAGACGAUGUUGAUAUGUCAGAGAGCUCCGCUUCUGAGAAGGAACCACAGAGGAACUGGAUAGAAGAGCUGAGAGAAGCUGCAUCUCUCUGUCACAUGGAGCAAGAGAACACAGUAGAUGAUUUGAGGCCUCUUCCAUCUCUGGACUCUCCUCAGCUGACCUUUUUAACUCCCUCGGAGGAAAAGGCUGAUCUGCUGAGGGAGGAAGAGAUCCCACCACCGGAUCAGCAGCAGAGGAGACAUCUGAAAAUUCUGAAUCUCUGAAUCUAUUAAACAGGCCGGUGGAUCUCUUAGAGCCUUUGGAAAACACAAUAGAUCUCCCACAGCAAACUGCAGCACAGAACUCAGAGCUCUUAGAAGAAGAAACAGAACAAAGCAAGGAGUCAGAACCAAUCAAAAGGGAAGUUCCUCCAGUGAAGCUUCAAGAAUCUGAAUGGAGACCGUCCGAAGCAGCAGACGAUUGGGCCAAGGUCAUAAUUCCAACUGAAACAGUGAAAAAGAUCCAAGAACCACCAGAUCAGGAAGAAGUACUGCCAGAAAAGACAUCAAAGGUUGAAGAUCAAGAAAGGAGCCUACCAGAAGAACCAGUGGAUGUCUCACCUUCUGAGCCGGUUGAAACUCCAGCUGAGGCAACUCUCGAGCUACAACACGGAGGGUAAGUUACAUCGGAAAAGAAAGAUGAAUGAUUUAUGAACUUUUUAAUUAGAUUUUUUUGUAAUCCCGUUAGAUGUGACUUCCAUUCAUUUUUGUGG
rnacentral:lncRNA from 1 species